rnacentral:misc_RNA from 1 species
GAUGAAGAACGUAGCGGAAUGCGAUAAGUAAUGUGAAUUGCAGAAUUCAGUGAAUCAUCGAAUCUUUGAACGCACAUUGCGCCCAUUAGUAUUCUAGUGGGCAUGCCUGUUCGAGCGUCAUUUCAACCCUCAAGCCCCCGGGUUUGGUGUUGGGGAUCGGCUCUGCCCUUCUGGGCGGUGCCGCCCCCGAAAUACAUUGGCGGUCUCGCUGCAGCCUCCAUUGCGUAGUAGCUAACACCUCGCAACUGGAACGCGGCGCGGCCAUGCCGUAAAACCCCAACUUCUGAAUGUUGACCUCGGAUCAGGUAGGAAUACCCGCUGAACUUAAGCAUAUCAAUAAGCGGAGGA